UUUUAUGGAGAGUUUGAUCCUGGCUCAGGAUGAACGCUGGCGGCGUGCCUAAUACAUGCAAGUCGAGCGAACGGACGAGAAGCUUGCUUCUCUGAUGUUAGCGGCGGACGGGUGAGUAACACGUGGAUAACCUACCUAUAAGACUGGGAUAACUUCGGGAAACCGGAGCUAAUACCGGAUAAUAUUUUGAACCGCAUGGUUCAAAAGUAAAAGACGGUCUUGCUGUCACUUAUAGAUGGAUCCGCGCUGCAUUAGCUAGUUGGUAAGGUAACGGCUUACCAAGGCAACGAUGCAUAGCCGACCUGAGAGGGUGAUCGGCCACACUGGAACUGAGACACGGUCCAGACUCCUACGGGAGGCAGCAGUAGGGAAUCUUCCGCAAUGGGCGAAAGCCUGACGGAGCAACGCCGCGUGAGUGAUGAAGGUCUUCGGAUCGUAAAACUCUGUUAUUAGGGAAGAACAUAUGUGUAAGUAACUGUGCACAUCUUGACGGUACCUAAUCAGAAAGCCACGGCUAACUACGUGCCAGCAGCCGCGGUAAUACGUAGGUGGCAAGCGUUAUCCGGAAUUAUUGGGCGUAAAGCGCGCGUAGGCGGUUUUUUAAGUCUGAUGUGAAAGCCCACGGCUCAACCGUGGAGGGUCAUUGGAAACUGGAAAACUUGAGUGCAGAAGAGGAAAGUGGAAUUCCAUGUGUAGCGGUGAAAUGCGCAGAGAUAUGGAGGAACACCAGUGGCGAAGGCGACUUUCUGGUCUGUAACUGACGCUGAUGUGCGAAAGCGUGGGGAUCAAACAGGAUUAGAUACCCUGGUAGUCCACGCCGUAAACGAUGAGUGCUAAGUGUUAGGGGGUUUCCGCCCCUUAGUGCUGCAGCUAACGCAUUAAGCACUCCGCCUGGGGAGUACGACCGCAAGGUUGAAACUCAAAGGAAUUGACGGGGACCCGCACAAGCGGUGGAGCAUGUGGUUUAAUUCGAAGCAACGCGAAGAACCUUACCAAAUCUUGACAUCCUUUGACAACUCUAGAGAUAGAGCCUUCCUCUUCGGGGGACAAAGUGACAGGUGGUGCAUGGUUGUCGUCAGCUCGUGUCGUGAGAUGUUGGGUUAAGUCCCGCAACGAGCGCAACCCUUAAGCUUAGUUGCCAUCAUUAAGUUGGGCACUCUAAGUUGACUGCCGGUGACAAACCGGAGGAAGGUGGGGAUGACGUCAAAUCAUCAUGCCCCUUAUGAUUUGGGCUACACACGUGCUACAAUGGACAAUACAAAGGGCAGCGAAACCGCGAGGUCAAGCAAAUCCCAUAAAGUUGUUCUCAGUUCGGAUUGUAGUCUGCAACUCGACUACAUGAAGCUGGAAUCGCUAGUAAUCGUAGAUCAGCAUGCUACGGUGAAUACGUUCCCGGGUCUUGUACACACCGCCCGUCACACCACGAGAGUUUGUAACACCCGAAGCCGGUGGAGUAACCUUUUAGGAGCUAGCCGUC
rnacentral:rRNA from 1 species